rnacentral:rRNA from 1 species
GUUAGGAAUAUUGGACAAUGGGCGCAAGCCUGAUCCAGCCAUGCCGCGUGAGUGAUGAAGGCCUUCGGGUUGUAAAGCUCUUUAGUCCACGAAUAUAAUGACUGUAGUGGAAGAAUAAGCCCCGGCUAACUUCGUGCCAGCAGCCGCGGUAAUACGAAGGGGGCGAGCGUUAUUCGGAAUCACUGGCCGUAAAGCGUGCGUAGGCUGUUUUGUAAGUUAGAAGUGAAAGCCCAGGGCUUAACCCUGGAAUUGCUUUUGAAACUACAAGACUCGAAUUCGGGAGAGGAUAGCGGAAUUGUCAGUGUAGCAGUGAAAUGCGUAGAUAUUGACAGGAACACCAGUGGCGCAAGCGGCUAUCUGGACCGAUAUUGACGCUGAGGCACGAAAGCGUGGGGAGCAAACAGGAUUAGAAACCCGGGUAGUCC